UGUAAGCGUAUACCAAAGUUGUUGCAGUUAAAACGCUCGUAGUCGGAAUUUGGCAGUUCCGGAUGAGUGCACGUCGUGUGCGCACUUCGCGGGGAUUGCUUUUGUGGUCUUGCGUAGGAUGAGGCACUUUUAUUAGUGAACGUCCUCACGCAACCACUUUUUACUGUGAGAAAAUCAGAGUGCUCAAAGCAGGCAUUUGCCGUGAAUGUAUUAGCAUGGAAUAAUAGAAUAGGACUUGGUUCUAUUUUGUUGGUUUGUUGGGACUGAGUAAUGAUUAAGAGGGACAGUUGGGGGCAUUUGUAUUUCGGUGCUAGAGGUGAAAUUCUUAGAUUACCGAAAGACAAACUGCUGCGAAAGCGUCUGCCAAGGAUGUUUUCAUUGA
rnacentral:rRNA from 1 species